AUUGAACGCUGGCGGCAUGCUUUACACAUGCAAGUCGAACGGUAACAGGCCUUCGGGUGCUGACGAGUGGCGACGGGUGGCGUAAGGCUCCGGAAGGUGCCCGGAGGUGGGGGUUAACGCAGGAAAACCUGGGUUAAUACCGCAUGUGACCGGAGGUGGAAAACGGGGGACAGGGCAGGAAGGUUUGGCCUUGCGCGUUUGAAGGGGCCGAUGUCGGAUUAGGUAGUUGGUGGGGUAAAGGCCUACCAAGCCGACGAUCUGUAGCUGGUCUGAGAGGACGACCAGCCACACUGGGACUGAGACACGGUCCAGACUCCUACGGGAGGCAGCAGUGGGGAAUUUUGGACAAUGGGCGCAAGCCUGAUCCAGCAAUGCCGCGUGCGGGAAGAAGGCCUUCGGGUUGUAAACCGCUUUUGUUCGGAACGAAAAGGCUCUGGCUAAUACCUGGGGCUGAUGACGGUACCGUAAGAAUAAGCACCGGCUAACUACGUG
rnacentral:rRNA from 1 species